CCCGCCGCGGUGUGUCCCUGCGCGCGUGAGGGGGACGCGCGGCGUUCCCAGAGAUGCGAGGGGAAGCGGGCGCUUCUAGCUAAAAAAAGCAGGGAUACGGUGUAAUGUGUGGAGAAACGGGCACUUGUGGCUGAAAAAAAGCAGGGAUACGGUGUGAUGCGAGCGCUGGUUGGCGCCUCCGGCUCGAGGGCCCGAAGUGGGUGGGCGCUGCAGAAACGCGGGGUCUGAGGGAGCGAAUUCCCCAGCUCCCGAAUUCAGUGCGGUUCAGUGGAAUUUGGAGCCCUAAACUAGGCCUAAGGCUUGUAGCUCUGAGGGGAGGGAUUAAUUAUCCCCUGCCCUCCCCUUCAAAACGUUUUUUUUGAGCAGCCUGGAUUAUAUUUGUAGAGCUCCUAAUGUAUUUUUAAGUAAAGAUUACAUUUAGUCAGUAGCGCUGUCUUAGCUCUCGUACUUGCAAUAAUUUCAUGCAUAUUCUCAUAGUAAAUUUUUAUUUCUGUGGCAAUUAUUAGCUGUAAAGUUCCUCCAUUCCAGUAGCACUUUGAUAAUUUCUCCUGUUAGAAAUAGGCUUAAGUAUUUAAGCAUUUUGAAAAAAAUAACAUCAUAUGAAAUACCUUAAUUACAUAUUUUUCAUGUAUCAUCACGUACGAAAUGGAUUUAAGCUGUGGAGAACAUUCAGGACCUGGGAUUUGUGGUUUCAGAACAAGGUUUAUUUUUGUUCACAGGCUCCUGGCUAUUUGCUGUGUUAAUCUACACUGUGUCCCUUAAAUUUCAGAUUUUUGGGAGAAUGAGUUGUUACUUUGUUUGGUGAAAAGUGACUGUUUCCCCUCGCCAGCCUCAUCUGCAGUUAUGCCAACAAAUGCAGAAGCCAAACAAUCCAGGGCUGAACAGGGGUUUUAGGGAACUAUUGCCACAGAACCAACAAAUCAAAAAUAGGUGGCUUUCCUCUGUCCUAGAAAAUACCAUUAUUUGAACUUUGGAAUGCUUCCUACGGAGAGAGCAGAUGAUUUAAUGGUGUUUUUAAAGUGGUGUAACUGUGCUAACUUCUACCUGGGGCCGUGCAGAAUUAGGUCAGCUAUAUAUUCCCUGGGGAAAAAAAAAAAAAGGCAAAAACUCCUCAAAAAAACCCCCAAACCUGUUUUAAAACCCCCUGCAAACUGUUCAAAUACUGGGUGUGUGCUGUAACCCUCCGUGGCAACAGACACUGUGAUUCAUUUUCCUUCAGCAAAGUUUGUGUAGUGUCUCCUAGGAACAGCAGUUCCUGCAUCAGUCUCAUGCCCAAGUUUGGGGAGGGCUCACCCAGAACAGCUCCAGGACGUUAAUUCAGUUACUUGAUCACAGGGGCUCGAAAAAUCUGCCAGAAACAGUCAGAGAAAAUCAAGUUACACGUUGGGAAACAGCAAAGGGCAGGACGUGCUGUGUGGCAUCUGGGAGGUCACUCACUGUGAAGGGAGAUGAGGAAAAUGCCUCUUAAAUAUUCAAGUACAGAGUAUAAAGGUGGUCAAGUAUUUCUCUAACUGGCUGUGAUGCCUUUUUAAUUAUUGAAUUCAGCAUUUUAGCUCAAUUUAAUCAGAAUGGCCUUCUCAAUAUCGUUUUUGAAAAUCAGGUGUCCUUGGGUAAUUUAGAAUUAUCAAAAAAUGUACUUAAGUGGAACUCUACUGCAUUGUUUUGUGAAUCCUGUUUAAAAGUUCUUUCCUUACAGGAAAGGGGCCAUUCUUACUCCUUUUAUGUUUCUGACACCACCACACAACCCUGAAAGGAGCAGAAACAUCCAAUUCCCUGUAAGCACAUGUGUGCUUAAAUCUAGAAUUUAAGAUACUCCUUUUCAAGACAAGUCACACAACGAAGGCCCCCAGCCCAAGAAGAGUGUUCUUGAGCAUUAUUAUUCCAGAAAAAUGAAAGUCAGAGCCUGACACAACGGCAGAACAAAUUCAGAUUCUGAAGGGCAUUGUCUUGGUUAAUACAUCCCACAGCAAAGGUAAAUAUUUCUACUUCCUCCUGUCAAAAAAUAAAAACAUAGAAUUUUCAUUUUAUUGAAAACAGCUACCCAUACAGAAUCCCUGGUAAAACAUUUAAAUUCACAAACUUCUUUGGUAUUGGUUACAACAUUUCAAAUGUAAAAUAUCAGCAGCAGACCUCCAGCCCUGUACAGGCUACACUAAAGCAACCAGCUGGUUUUAAUUUAAGCCUGGAUUAUUUCUGCUUGUGCUCUUCUCAUUUUAUUAGACUGCUCCUUAUUCACCAAAGGUGCUGGUGUGUCUAAUUUGUAAUAGCUGGAGAAAAUUAGAGAAAAAAAACAUUUCUUCCAUCUUUCCAACACAUUCACAGUCUGUCAAUAAAAGUAAUAUAUAUUAACAUGCAGGAAAAAAGCCAUAAUAUGAAACCAUAGCAAUUCAAUCAUUCUCCAAUAAAUACAAAUAUACACCGUGGACAGUUGUCCUCCACCAAACAAAGUAAAAAUUUUGGGAUGUUUCUAGAGAUUUCUUUCAAUAAUCCUUAAUAAAGAGGGGACAGUGAAACAUGUAAGAGUUUUUCUUUCUAUAGAAAGAAAUUCCCUCUUCACCAAGGAAGAGCUCACAGCUCACCAAACCCACAAUAGAGCAGACUCCAGGCUGGGUUUGGGUGCUGAGGGACAGCCUGCAGGUAAAAGCAGAGCAGGCUUUGUUCUGUGACUUCUGAAGAGGGAAAAGAAGAGGAUUUGAGUUUGUGGAAGGAGUGAAGGUUGUAAUUAUAAAACUGUUCCAGCAGUCCAGGCAGACACAAGCUUUGGAAUCUUCCUCCCGUGGAGAAAAGAAACACACGUUCACACUCUGCAAGGGGAAGCACCGCUGAAAAAAACCCCCACAAUCAAUCAAACAAAAAAACCCCAACACCUCCCCCCCACUAUAUCUUCACAUUUAAUAAUUUAGAGUUAAUUGCACAGCUCAGAGGUGAACCCUGGAUUAUAUAUAACCUGUCCCAAAGUCCCCCUGGAGCUGUCAGCAGCUGUCCCGGCGCUAUGAAUAGGUGUUCGGUGUCACCUGCUGGGAACAUUCCUGACUUCAAAGUAUUGCUGAUAUCUGUGUGCACAGACAUUUUACACAGAAUCUACUAAGUUAUCUCCAACCCUAAACCAUAUCAGCAAACCUGAACAAAGCCACCCAACCAUCUGUACUUUUUAUAUUUUCACCCACACGCUUCCAAAGAAAGACCCAGGAAACAUCCUGUGCGAGUGUGUAUCAUUUAUUGUAGUUCAAGAGAGUCAGGAAUUGAACAGAAGACACGGCGAAAAAACAAACAAAAGAAAAAACAACCUGUUUUCUCAGACUUAAUUUUAAAACACUGUGGUUUCAAAUCCUUUUUAAAAAGGAAAUUCAAGUAUCAUAUGCAGGGGGCAGUAAUACAAAAAUGUCUGUGAAUAUUUUUUUUUUUCAUUUUUUUUUUUAAAAACGUAAUUCUACAUUUCCUGCACCCUUUCUGCUUUGGUAAGGCCAAGCCAUGGAUACAAAUUGGUAGCAACAUAAAAAAAAAUGACCCCCUGCCCCAAACUGCAGCCUCCAAGGAUAAAAGUAUCUGCUCUCUGUGGACAAGCUCGAAUGGCUCAGAACUGUCAGUUAGCAUAUAUCAUAUCUGCAGCAUUGAAAGAAUGUAUUUCUUUUGUUUAAAAGUCACUGAAAUCCUGGUAUUCCCAAGCAUCUCAUUCAUGGCAGCUGUUUUAACAUAUUUCUAUCUCGAGGCUUUUCACAAAUACCAGAGUGUCUUGAUCAACGUAAAGGAAAGAGACAUUUCAAGGAAUGGAAAUUAAAAUCCGUGUGUGAAGUCUUUGCCUUUUUGAAAUUAUCCUUGUGUCUAAUACCAAUUAAAACCCAAAUAGGCAGAUGUGUGUAAUAUAAAAAUAGGAUCCCAAGAUGAACACUUUGUUGCAGGCACAGUUAUCGCACAGAAUAUGUUCUUUUGAGGGCAGGGGAAUGAUUCUGAUUUUCACAAGGUUCAUUGGGGGGUUUUUUUGCAUUACAAAAAAAAAAAAGAGAAAAAAAAAAAAGAGACAGCAGUGCAGGUUUGAUGGGUGGAACAGAAAGAAGGGAGGGAAAGAGGAAAAAGUUACUUUAGCAGCAAAAUGUCCAAGGUUCUAACCACAAUCAAAUUAACGGAUAUCUGGCGGUAAAAAACAAGGUUGAAGGGAUGCUGCCCUGAUCCAUUCGUCUUUGCUAAAAUAAUUCAGCUGUAAAAACUCCAAAAUGUGACAUAUUGAAGGACAGUUUUGUAACAUAAGCAACUUCCUAGCUUGUCCUCCAUGUUAUUGACCAUCGUUACCACUUAAAUAUAUGUACAAGAAUUAAGCUGCUUUUCUCCUCGGCCACAUGCUCCUGGUCACUACUGAAGUCAGUGCCGUGGGCGUGCUAAUCCCAUAACAGCUUCCAAGUGUUUCUGCUCCACUACUGCCACAACAGCCCACGCCCUGCUCUCCCCACUGCUGUUGGUGGGCACUGCAAGGGAGUUCCUAAUGGUCAUUCUGCUUGUCUCUCAUCCAGGCUUGGAUUUGCUCCUUAAGUUCUGGCACUGAUAGGGUAAAAAAAAAAGAAAAAAGAAUGAUUAAAUUACUUAGUAAUACAACUACAAGAGAGCUCCUCAUGACCAAUGGAGAUUUCUUCUCUAGUGACCUGAUCAGGACUAUCUACUACUGUUGUCUUCUCCCUGAAUGCAGUUUCUGCACAGCUUUGGACAGUCACUAUUUAGGAAACUCCACUUGCCUCUGAAUUCAUCCGGAGCAUCGCUGUAAUCAAUCUCUGCACGGGCGUUCUUGGCAACAAUUUCCUCCACUUUCUCUGCCAGCAGUUUGAAUUUCUCUAUUGCUAUGGUGGACUUGAUUCCAGCCUUUCUCAUCUUGGAGAUAACCUCCUCAAAGAGCUCUUUACUGUAGGACCUCUACAAGCAAAGCACAAAAAGACAACUUUGCUGAGUCGUAGGAUCCUCGCCUGCCAUAAAAAUGCUAAAGAUAUUUUAAUGCACUUUUAAAACUGCAGAAGAAGGGAUCAAUGAAACCUCAAGCUUACAUCAGACUCAAAAGCAGUAUGUGGUAACAUUUCAUCUAGCACCAAAAGGUCAACUUUGGGGUAGACUUAUGAUUCUUUUUUUUAAUAGUCAUCACCACAGUAGGACUGUUCAGGACCAAAAAAAGGCAACAUCACCUAAAGAAAAUGAGGAAGACACUCAGAGAGACUGACUAUGAUUAUCAGGAUUGUUCCUCACACAAAACAUCUGUCUUGCCACUCUCCUGUCUGUAUUACUGUUUUCACAAGUCUUGGCUGAAAAUAUAGCACAAAAUGAAUUUAUUUUUUUAAUUUCUUAAUUUCUCUGUUAAUGAGCAAGGCAGUACUGGGAAAGAAGUGAUUCUUUCUCCUAAUCCAAACAAGAACCAACAGAAAAGCCACCCCAUGAUGUUGCAAAAAUAGUAAGGCAGCUCAGAGGGAGCGAAUGCUGGAGAUUUGCCAACCGGUGCAGUAGGAAUAUCCAGAGAGACCAAAUGCAUAUCCUGUAGUUCCCACAAAGCAAGCAUUGCUCUCAUGUGAAAAACCAAGCUAGGGAAGGACUUUUGUAGCUGCUUCUGUUCUACAGACACCGUUUCCUUUUAACUUCACAGUGCCGUGUUUUGACGUAAACCUUUUAAUAAAAAAACACCAU